CUUCUCUCUAGUUGGGGUGCCUGUGAAACCGGCAGGCUCUCUCCAAAUGCCUGGAUUCUGCUGGGGGAGUAAGAAGUCAGGAGUAGUUUGUCUGAUGGUAUUGGGAUCUGCUUUGCAAUUGCCAAGCGCUAAGGCACAAGCUGGCAGAUGUGCUGCGGCUCUGCUACGGGCGGCUCUGUCGCCUUCAGUCGCAGGCUGGUUCUUUGGGGGAAAGUUGUAUCCAAUAUUGGUGACUCCCGGGAAUAGUCUGUUUGUGUGCUACUUAAUGGUCUCUAGGCUUCCUUGUCUUGUAGAACCUUGUUAGAAAGGAGCCUUGGUGAUUAAGAGGCUAUGGAGUACACAGCCUUGCUUAGCAGAUGAGCCCUUAUCCAUUUCCCGUUUCCUUAAAAACGGCUAAUUGAUGGAUGCUGCAGAAAACAUGCACUCUGCUAAUAAGAUGCUGAUGACAAAAUAGGUAUCAGGAAAGGCAUUUACUGCUUAUGAGCACCAUCAGCUUUCUUUCGAGUGAGAUUGUGGCUUUGUAGUAAAGUUUUUUUUUAAGUAAUAUGCUAAUAGUUUUAUUCUAAAUCGGCCAGCGCUGAAUAUCUUCAGGAAAAUGGGUUCCAUGAGAAGUGACAUCCUCCUCGAAUCAAAAGAUUCUCAGGAUGAUGGAGUGAGUGAUGGAAUAGGUUGCCAACUGUAGUUACUCCACUCAGCACAGAAUGGCUGCGGGGAAAUAUAAUCAGACAUGCCCAAAGAAGUCUGCUUAGGGUGAAACAAAUACCUUUGAGGUUUAAAUCAGAAAGGAAGGAGAGACUGUUUCUACAGGUGUCAUACAAAAAUCAAUACUGAGCCAAGGAUUAUUGGAUCCCAUAGAACCACGGAGACUUGGUAGUGAAAUUCUUCCAAAGCAUUCCAUCCGUGCAGGCAGAUGGUGUUCCUAGGUUUGGAAAUAUAAAUCCCAUGGGAAGUCAGCUGAAGACCAUUUUAUGCAUCACUCAUCCUGUUAGAGCCCUGUGCUGUUCUGUCUCUCUAUAAGACUGGCUGAAACCACCACGGUUGUUUACAAUUUAUGCUCUAACUUUGGAUCACCUAGUUAAUACUCUAACUCCGAUUAUUACCAAAGACAAUGUUCUAUAAAAGAUAUUGUCUAUUAGAAGGAUGCUUCUGCAUUAUUAAUAAAAUCACAGGGAAAAUGCAACAUUUUGGAUGUCACAUCUGAUAAGUGGGUGACUGAUCGUACCCGCCAGCUGGCUAAUGUCAUAAUUAACAAAGUUGCUACUACAUCUGCAAAGUUUAAUCGAAAAAUUUGCCAGUGAUAUGAUGGCCUUGUCACAGAGAUCACAAGGGACACGGAGUUGACUUUUGCUCAAGGUGGAACGACAGAGCUGUGUAGGCAAGAUGAGAAAUUGCGAACUUGUUCGGCCAAAGGAUUAUCUCCUGAGAUGUGUAGAAAUGAACUCUUGUCAGAGUUUCAAAGGAAUUAACGUUUUUUGGUAAAAUGUGCUAAUGUAAAGAGUGAGAAGAUUAGUGAUACAUAAUGAAAGCAAUGCAUUCUUUCACAUGGAAAUGGGAAUAUAAUAAAUGUCCUGCAGGUGAUUGGGGCUGUAGCAAUUUUAUUGAAGAUUAAAGUUUGAUUGACCUUUGUUAGGGUGAUUAACCCUUCUGAAAUUAAAAGCCAGAGCUGAAUUAUUCUGCUCAAUUUAAAUGCAAACAUCGAGCAGGUCGUAUGUCAUUCAAAUAAUAAUAAGAAGAAAAUCUUCCUAUUUUAAUUUUCAUUUUUGCACUUCUGAGUGGUAUGCUGCUUUAGAAGGACCAUAGCUCUCGCAAAAGCAUUCUGGUGGCAGAGAAUAUACAAUAACGUUACAGAUAAUUGGGAGCAUAUAGGAAGAGUCCCAAGCACUACUGCCUGCAUUCGAAACAUCAAAACCACCAUCCCAACAAAAGCACGGAGCAUGAAGCCAAUCUCUGUACACUGAAAAUGCAUGCUCCCAAUAGAAAAACAACCUAGGGAUGUCCUGAAGGGGUUAGGAAUAAAUAACAAUGACAUCUCUAUUCUAGUUCAGUGCCAACCACCGAAAUUGCAUAUCAUAUCCAUGUUAAAUCUACAUGAUGUCUCCUGGAAAUGCGUGCUUUUUGGUACAGUUGCUUAUGAAGCAGUUUCUAAAAGUUGAUUAUUUCUGAUGUCUGGAAUUUCAUUCUCCAUGAUCUCUGGCAGUUUCUGAAUAUAUUCAGUAUUUUCAUUAAGUUCAAAAAUGCUGUAGGAGAAGCUAACGAAUUAUUUGCAAUGCCAUUUAAUGGUUUAGUUUUAUUUUUCUCUGUUAAAUUUUCUAAGCCUUGGUGAAAAGUUGUGUAUUCACAUUUCUUCAAAAAACUGUUUCCAUUUUUCAUAUCAUGUUAAUUUUGUUUAGUUCUAAGUCAGUGAAUAUUUUUAGUCUUAGGUCCCACCACAUAGUGAAUGUGUCUGCCUUUUAUGUAUCUGUGAACUAUUAAAAUGAUAAUAAAGGUUCUCUUCCUUCCA
rnacentral:lncRNA from 1 species